rnacentral:misc_RNA from 1 species
UUAAGUUCAGCGGGUAGUCCCACCCGAUUUGAGGUCAAAUUGUCAAGUAAGUUUUGUCCAGAAAGGACGGUUGGCAGCCGACCAAAGGCGAGCUGAGCGCGGGUUCCUCUGAGAGGGUCCUCUAAAACUCCGGUGAAGAUGCUUAUCACACCAGAUGACGCUUUCACAAGCCGGUCAUACUAACACAUUUGAGACGUGUC